UCUUACGGAUGAAGAAAAAAAGUAGUUUCUUGAGACGGAAUCUACUCCUUAGGAAGAUGCUGUGAA
rnacentral:pre_miRNA from 1 species